AACGAACGCUGGCGGCAUGCCUAACACAUGCAAGUCGAACGAGACCUUCGGGUCUAGUGGCGCACGGGUGCGUAACGCGUGGGAACCUGCCCUUAGGUUCGGAAUAACUCCCCGAAAGGGGUGCUAAUACCGGAUAAUGCCUUCGGACCAAAGAUUUAUCGCCUUUGGAUGGGCCCGCGUUGGAUUAGCUAGUUGGUAGGGUAAAAGCCUACCAAGGCGACGAUCCAUAGCUGGUCUGAGAGGAUGAUCAGCCACACUGGGACUGAGACACGGCCCAGACCCCGACGGGAGGCAGAGGGGGGGAUUAGUGAAAAAGGGGCGAAGGCUUGAUCAAGCAGUCCCGGGGGAGUAAGGAGGCCUUUGGGGUUGAAAGUUUUUUUUCCCGGGGAUGAUAAGAACAUACCGGGGAAAAAAACCCCGGGCAACCCCGGCG
rnacentral:rRNA from 1 species